rnacentral:tRNA from 1 species
GGUCGCGGUAGCCGAGCGGUAGCAUUGCGUACUAACAUUCGGAAGGCCCGGGUUCAAAUCCCCGUGCGACCA